GGACGAACGCUGGCGGCGUGCCUAAUACAUGCAAGUCGAGCGGACAGAUGGGAGCUUGCUCCCUGAUGUUAGCGGCGGACGGGUGAGUAACACGUGGGUAACCUGCCUGUAAGACUGGGAUAACUCCGGGAAACCGGGGCUAAUACCGGAUGGUUGUUUGAACCGCAUGGUUCAAACAUAAAAGGUGGCUUCGGCUACCACUUACAGAUGGACCCGCGGCGCAUUAGCUAGUUGGUGAGGUAACGGCUCACCAAGGCAACGAUGCGUAGCCGACCUGAGAGGGUGAUCGGCCACACUGGGACUGAGACACGGCCCAGACUCCUACGGGAGGCAGCAGUAGGGAAUCUUCCGCAAUGGACGAAAGUCUGACGGAGCAACGCCGCGUGAGUGAUGAAGGUUUUCGGAUCGUAAAGCUCUGUUGUUAGGGAAGAACAAGUACCGUUCAAAUAGGGCGGUACCUUGACGGUACCUAACCAGAAAGCCACGGCUAACUACGU
rnacentral:rRNA from 1 species